AGCGAACGCUGGCGGCAGGCUUAACACAUGCAAGUCGAGCGGGCGUAGCAAUACGUCAGCGGCAGACGGGUGAGUAACGCGUGGGAACGUACCUUUUGGUUCGGAACAACCCAGGGAAACGUUGGGCUAAUACCGGAUAAGCCCUUACGGGGAAAGGAUUUAUCGCCGAAAGAUCGGCCCGCGUCUGAUUAGCUAGUUGGUGAGGUAACGGCUCACCAAGGCGACGAUCAGUAGCUGGUCUGAGAGGAUGAUCAGCCACAUUGGGACUGAGACACGGCCCAAACUCCUACGGGAGGCAGCAGUGGGGAAUAUUGGACAAUGGGCGCAAGCCUGAUCCAGCCAUGCCGCGUGAGUGAUGAAGGCCCGUAC
rnacentral:rRNA from 1 species